AAAAAGUUAGGCACUAUACUCUUCAUUUGUACAGACCGCCAAAGUCAACUAUAGACUGGAUUAAUGAUUUUGAAAAAGAACUAGGAAUGGCAGUGACCAUUAAUUCAGAUAUAAUAUUAUUGGGUGAUUUUAAUAUGAAUUUUAAAGCACCAAGCAAACCUCCUCAAAAAUGGCUGAGUGUUUUAGAAUCAUUCAAUCUUCAACAAAUGAUUGUAGAUGCUACAAGGGUUACAAAGGAUACUAGUACAUUGAUUGAUCAUAUCUAUGUCAGUAAUCUAGAUAAGGUACAGGAAUCACAUGUCUGUAAAUAUGCAAUUAGUGACCAUUAUCCUAUUUGUUUAACAAGGAAAGAAGUUAAUAAAGACAAAAAGAAUACACACAGUACAAUCACAUACAGGAAUUUCAAAAAAUUUGACCAAUAUGAAUUUCUAUUAGACCUACAAAGUACACCUUUUUAUAAAAUUGAAUUUGAAGACAAUCCUUCUGUCUGUUUCCAAUUAUUUUAUGAUAUGUUGAACAAAGUUUUAAAUAAACAUGCUCCUGUUGUUGAAAAGAGAGUUAAAAAUGAUAGGCAACCUGAUUGGUAUAAUAGUGAAAUUAUGUAUGCCGGGAACAUGAGGGAUAAAUAUAAUGCACUUGGAUUGUGGAGUGAAUAUAGAUUUUGGAGAAAUAAAACUAAACAAAUAAUAGAGAAUUCAAAAAAGAAUUAUUAUAAAAACAUGGUAAAAGACUCUAAUGACUCAAAAUCUUUAUGGAAAUGCCUUCAUAGCCUGAACCCUAAGGUAAAAAAAUCCCCACAUGAGUUAGCUACAGAUGAGAACAAUACAACAAAUAAUAAAAAAUCUAUAGCAGAUACUUUUAAUAACUUUUUUACUUCCUGUGCUGAAAAACUAAGAGAGCAAAGAGAUAUUUCAUCUGUUGACAAGGCAGAUUUCAAUAAUCUUAGCACAUUCAUUAAUAAUCAAUUAAAACAACAACAAAAUGCUUCGCUGGGCGCAGCUUGAUACAACCGCAGAGGUCGAACCCUGAACAGUUGGGGCAAGUAUGGACACAACAUUCAAGCUUGAUACAGCUCUGAAUUUGGAUUGUGAUUAAAUCUUUGACACAGCAUAGGUUUCUGACACAGAAAGAAUGUGGUCUAAGAACUUGAAUUUUUUUAAUUUACCUAUUAUGGUCCAAUGUCCAAAAUCAAAAUACAUGGUUAGAUUCAGCAUAUCAAAGAACCCCAUAUAUUCAAUUUUUGUUGAAAUCAAACAAAGUUUAAUUUUGGACUCCAACUUGGACAAAGUUGAAAACUGGGCCCAUAAUAAAAAAUCUAAACACAUGUUUAGAUUCAGCAUAUCAAAGAACCCCAAGAAUUCAAGUUUUGUUAAAAUCAAACUAAGUUUACUUUUGGACCCUUUGGACCUUAAUGUAGACCAAUUUAAAAAACAGGACCCAAAAUUAAAAAUCUAAAUACACGAUUAGAUUUGGAAUAUCAAAGAACCCCAAAAUUCAAUUUUUGAUGAAAUCAAACAAAGUUUUAAUUUGGACCCUUUUGACUACAAUAUGAACCAAUUUGAUAGCGGGGCCCACAAAUAAAAAAUCUAAAUACAUGGUUAGAUUCAGCAUAUCAAAGAACCCCAUAUGCUGAAAUCAAAAAAAGUUUAAUUUUGGACCCCAACUUGGACCAACUUGAAAACUGGGCCCAUAAUCAAAAAUCUAAACACAUGUUUAGAUUCAGCAUAUCAAAGAACCCCAAGAAUUCAAUUUUUGAUGAAAUCAAACAAAGUUUAAUUUUGGACCCUUUUGACCUCAAUGUGGACAAAGUUGAUAACGGGGCCCAAAAAUCUAAAUACAUGGUUAGAUUCAGAUGAGAACAAUACAACAACAAAUAAUAAAAAAUCUAUAGCAGAUACUUUUAAUAACUUUUUUACUUCCUGUGCUGAAAAACUAAGAGAGCAAAGAGAUAUUUCAUCUGUUGACAAGGCAGAUUUCAAUAAUCUUAGCACAUUCAUUAAUUAUCAAUUAAAACAACAACAAAAUGCUUCGCUGGGCGCAGCUUGAUACAACCGCAGAGGUCGAACCCUGAACAGUUGGGGCAAGUAUGGACACAACAUUCAAGCUUGAUACAGCUCUGAAUUUGGAUUGUGAUUAAAUAUUUGACACAGCAUAGGUUUCUGACACAGAAUGAAUGUGGUCUAAGAACUUAAAAAUUUUAAAUUGGACAUUCACAUAUUAUGGUCCAAUAUCCAAAAUCUAAAUACAUGGUUAAAUUCAGCACAUCAAAGAACCCCAAGAAUUCAAUUUUUGAUGAAAUCAAACAAAGUUUAAUUUUGGACCCUUUUGACCUCAAUGUGGACAAAGUUGAUAACGGGGCCCAAAAAUCUAAAUACAUGGUUAGAUUCAGCAUAUCAAAGAACCCCAUAUAUUCAAUUUUUGUUGAAAUCAAACAAAGUUUAAUUUUGGACCCCGAUUUGGACCAACUUGAAAACUGGGCCCAUAAUCAAAAAUCUAAAUACAUGUUUAGAUUCAGCAUAUCAAAGAACACUAAACAUUCAAUUUUUGUUAAAAUCAAACUAAGUUUAAUUUUGGACCCUUUGGACCUUAAUGUACUCCAAUUUGAAAACAGAACCAAAAAUUAAGAAUCUAAAUACACGGUUAGAUUUGGCAUAUCAAAGAACCCCAAUAAUUCAAUUUUUGAUGAAAUCAAACAAA